rnacentral:rRNA from 1 species
UCGAGCGAGUCUGCCUUGAAGAUCGGAGUGCUUGCACUCUGUGAAACAAGAUACAGGCUAGCGGCGGACGGGUGAGUAACACGUGGGUAACCUGCCCAAGAGAUCGGGAUAACACCUGGAAACAGAUGCUAAUACCGGAUAACAACAGAUGAUGCCUAUCAACUGUUUAAAAGAUGGUUCUGCUAUCACUCUUGGAUGGACCUGCGGUGCAUUAGCUAGUUGGUAGGGUAACGGCCUACCAAGGCGAUGAUGCAUAGCCGAGUUGAGAGACUGAUCGGCCACAUUGGGACUGAGACACGGCCCAAACUCCUACGGGAGGCAGCAGUAGGGAAUCUUCCACAAUGGACGCAAGUCUGAUGGAGCAACGCCGCGUGAGUGAAGAAGGGUUUCGGCUCGUAAAGCUCUGUUGUUGGUGAAGAAGGACAGGGGUAGUAACUGACCUUUGUUUGGCGGUAAUCAAUUAGAAAGUCACGGCUAACUACGUGCCAGCAGCCGCGGUAAUACGUAGGUGGCAAGCGUUGUCCGGAUUUAUUGGGCGUAAAGCGAGUGCAGGCGGCUCGAUAAGUCUGAUGUGAAAGCCUUCGGCUCAACCGGAGAAUUGCAUCAGAAACUGUCGAGCUUGAGUACAGAAGAGGAGAGUGGAACUCCAUGUGUAGCGGUGAAAUGCGUAGAUAUAUGGAAGAACACCGGUGGCGAAAGCGGCUCUCUGGUCUGUUACUGACGCUGA